UACGGAGGGGGCUAGCGUUGUUCGGAAUUACUGGGCGUAAAGCGCACGUAGGCGGCUUUGUAAGUUAGAGGUGAAAGCCCGGAGCUCAACUCCGGAACUGCCUUUAAGACUGCAUCGCUUGAACGUCGGAGAGGUAAGUGGAAUUCCGAGUGUAGAGGUGAAAUUCGUAGAUAUUCGGAAGAACACCAGUGGCGAAGGCGGCUCACUGGACCGGUACUGGCGCUGAGGCGCGAAAGCGUGGGGGAGCAAACAGG
rnacentral:rRNA from 1 species